rnacentral:rRNA from 1 species
AUUGAACGCUGGCGGCAGGCCUAACACAUGCAAGUCGAACGAGUGGCGGACGGGUGAGUAAUGUCUGGGAAACUGCCCGCUGGAGGGGGAUAACUACUGGAAACGGUAGCUAAGACCGCAUUCCCUCGGAUGUGCCCAGAUGGGAUUAGCUUGUAGGUGAGGUAACGGCUCACCUAGGCGACGAUCCCUAGCUGGUCUGAGAGGAUGACCAGCAACACUUGAACUGAGACACGGUCCAGACUCCUACGGGAGGCAGCAGGGGGGAAUAUUGCACAAGGGGCGCAAGCCUGGUGCAGCCAUGCCGCGGGUAUGAAGAAGGCCUUCGGGUUGUAAAGUACUUUCAGCGGGGAGGCGUUACCCGCAGAAGAAGCACCGGCUAACUCCGUGCCAGACGCCGCGGUAAUAC